rnacentral:rRNA from 1 species
UACGUAGGGUGCGAGCGUUGUCCGGAAUCACUGGGCGUAAAGGGCGCGUAGGUGGCGUCGCAAGUCAACGGUGAAAGCUCGACGCUCAACGUCGAGUCGGCCGUCGAGACUGCGAGGCUUGAGCACUGUAGAGGCAGAUGGAAUUCCGGGUGUAGCGGUGGAAUGCGUAGAUAUCACUUGGAACGCCAACGGUGAAGACAGUCUGCUGGGGAUUUGCUGACGCUGAGACACGAAAGCCAGGGGAGCGAACGGG